UACGUAGGGUGCAAGCGUUAAUCGGAAUUACUGGGCGUAAAGCGUGCGCAGGCGGUUAUGUAAGACAGGUGUGAAAUCCCCGGGCUUAACCUGGGAACUGCAUUUGUGACUGCAUAGCUAGAGUACGGUAGAGGGGGGAUGGAAUUCCGCGUGUAGCAGUGAAAUGCGUAGAUAUGCGGAGGAACACCGAUGGCGAAGGCAAUCCCCUGGACCUGUACUGACGCUCAUGCACGAAAGCGUGGGGAGCAACAGG
rnacentral:rRNA from 1 species